CACUAUUUAUUGUUCUUAAAUAUAAAUAUGAAAUUGUUUCGGAACGCCAGUUAUUUAUUUGUUUAGCAUCACAAAGAAGAAGGUUUUAAGUUUCAGCGCCAUACAAUGUUCAGCUACGACACAGCAUUCUACAGCCAGACAACCUUCAACAGCAGGACACAGUAACUCAAGGUAUUAAGGAAAUCCUAAGAAACCAAAAGGUGCUGAUGACAAGGAUGGAUGACAUUGAGAAAACCCUCAAAGAAAAUGUUAUUGAUAAAGGUCUUCUAUUGGCUCAAACACACACGCUGCGCGAAUGUAAGGAGGUUUUAGCUAAAGUCCAUCACUCCAUUGGACGAUUGGUAGGAGAAAUAGAAAAUCCCAUGAAAAUUGAAAUAGCGUCAAGACUACCAAUCUAGACACAGUUUUUUAAUCACUAAUAAACAAAUUAAAAAUAUAUUA
rnacentral:lncRNA from 1 species